rnacentral:lncRNA from 1 species
CUGAGCAUUCUACUACUAAGCGCUACUCAUGAAACACAUGGAUAUAAGUAUCCUUCAGAUCUGAGAUCACUAUAGUGACUUACAAGCAACUCGCUAUGCUUUGAUGCUGAAUUAUCUGAAUUUCUAAUGCAGUGACGGAAAGCUAUUGGGUACAGUCAAAUACUUACAAAAUCUGUGUAUGGAUCAAGAUAGAAUUGACCCCUCCAAAUUAUUAGAGCUGAUG